rnacentral:ncRNA from 1 species
ACUCUAAUCUGGCAGUGUAAGGAGACAUAAGAUGUGUAGAAUAAGUGGGAGAUAUUAUUCCUUGUGUUUGAUAUCGCCAAUGAAAUACCACUACUCUUAUUGUUUGCUUACUUACUUGAUUAAAUGGAACGUGUAUCAUUUCCUAGCCAUUAUACGGAUAUAUUUAUUAUAUCGUAUGGUAUUGAGUUUUGAUGCAAGCUUCUUGAUCAAAGUAUCACGAGUUUGUUAUAUAAUCGCAAACAAAUUCUUUAAUGGGAGAGUGCAUUUAUGUAUUUUUAAUUUGAAUAUUUGGUAUAACUCCAAUUACUCACGUAUGAUCCAAUUCAAGGACAUUGCCAGGUAGGAGU